UACGUAGGGUGCAAGCGUUAAUCGGAAUUACUGGGCGUAAAGCGUGCGCAGGCGGUUUUGUAAGUCAGAUGUGAAAUCCCCGGGCUUAACCUGGGAACUGCGUUUGAAACUACAAGGCUAGAGUGUGGCAGAGGGGGGUGGAAUUCCACGUGUAGCAGUGAAAUGCGUAGAUAUCAGGAGGAACAUCGAUGGCGAAGGCAGCCCCUUGGACCUGUACUGACGCUCAUGCACGAAAGCGUGGGGAGCAAACAGG
rnacentral:rRNA from 1 species